rnacentral:rRNA from 1 species
UACGUAGGGGUCGAGCGUUGUCCGGAGUUACUGGGCGUAAAGCGUGUGCAGGCGGCUCAUUGCGCCCGGCGUGAAAGCCCCCGGCUCAACCGGGGAGAGUCGUCGGGGACGGGUGAGCUUGAGGGUAUCAGGGGCUGGUGGAAUUCCCGGUGUAGUGGUGAAAUGCGUAGAUAUCAGGAGGAACACCAGUGGCGAAGGCGGCUUUCUGGACGAUAACUGACGCUGAGACGCGAAAGCGUGGGGAGCAAACAGG